rnacentral:ncRNA from 2 species
AGGGCUAGAAGAGGUGCGUUAUUCAGGUAGCGUAUGUUAGGAGCGCAAACUCCAGUAAGCAUACGUGAGGGGAAUUAACGCCGAGAAGUAACCACUUUUGCGAGGUGUUUAUUUCGGGCGACUAGGUUGAACCCUAGCGACUGUCACCAAUAGCUGCUUAUAAAAAGCAGCUUGUUAGUUUGGUGGAGAGCUUCUGGUCUU